rnacentral:lncRNA from 1 species
UACGAGGAAAUAAAAAGGGGCAAGUGCCCGAAACCUCGAAAGAAAAGAAAAAGUGAGACGAGAGGUAAGAAUGGACAAGUGUCCGACAGUAGAAUUAGGGGUACAAGAUACCCACCUGAGAGGAAAAAAAGAAAAUAUAGAGCAUCUCAUUCUCCUCAAAAAGUUUCAAAAGAGCAAGAAAGGUAUGUAUCUCCUCAAAAGAGCACAAAUAGAAUUAGACUUGCACCAUUGUUAUCACCUGCAUCACCAUACACCCUUCAUUCGCCACACAUGCACAUCUUGAUUUGACUUAUUGACUUGUUUCUCUGGAUCCAUGGUUUGACUAUGCAAUAAAUGUCUUGUAAGUAUGUAUACUUUAUCUCCCACCUAUGAGCUCCAGAUAUCAAAAGCCUUAUUAGAGUAGGAUGAGAGAGAAGGCAAUGUCACUAUGCUUCAUACCACAAAUACUACAUAUUUUGAGAGAAGGCAUAUACCAUCACUACCUUGGUAAGGAUCCAGAAAUACCACAAAAGAGAGAUCUGAGAGAGUCAUACAAGGAAUCUCUGAGUUUUAUUUGAAAAUCUGCAAAAACUCCAGAGCUAUAGCUGAUCAAGAAUAAGAGACAUGGCACU